UUAUCAACUUUCGAUGGUAGGAUAGAGGCCUACCAUGGUGGUAACGGGUAACGGGGUGUUAGGGCACGACACCGGAGAGGGAGCCUGAGAAACGGCUACCACAUCCAAGGAUGGCAGCAGGCGCGCAAAUUACCCAAUCCCGACACGGGGAGGUAGUGACAAUAAAUAACAAUACGGGGUUCUUUCGGAUCUCGUAAUUGGAAUGAGUACAAUUUAAAUCUCUUAACGAGGAACAAUUGGAGGGCAAGUCUGGUGCCAGCAGCCGCGGUAAUUCCAGCUCCAAUAGCGUAUAUUAAAGUUGUUGCAGUUAAAAAGCUCGUAGUUGAAUUUCGGGGUUAGUAGGUUGGUCAUGCCUCUGGUAUGUACUGGUCUCACUGAUUCCUCCUUCCUGAUGAACCGUAAUGCCAUUAAUUUGGUGUUGCGGGGAAUUUGGACUGUUACUUUGAAAAAAUUAGAGUGUUUAAAGCAAGCUAACGCUUGAAUACAUUAGCAUGGAAUAAUGAAAUAGGACGUUCGAUCCUAUUUUGUUGGUUUCUAGGAUUGACGUAAUGAUUAAUAGGGAUAGUUGGGGGCAUUAGUAUUCAAUUGUCAGAGGUGAAAUUCUUGGAUUUAUUGAAGACUAACUACUGCGAAAGCAUUUGCCAAGGAUGUUUUCAUUAAUCAAGAACGAAAGUUAGGGGAUCGAAGACGAUCAGAUACCGUCGUAGUCUUAACCAUAAACUAUGCCGACUAGGGAUCGGAUGAUGUUAAUUUUUUAAUGACUCAUUCGGCGCCUUACGGGAAACCAAAGUGUUUGGGUUCA
rnacentral:rRNA from 1 species